GGUAAUUAAGGUUGCAAAAUGGCGAGGGGGGAGGUAAGCUGUCUUUGCUUGGCCAUCUUGGGCUAGCAGGCCUUGCAGAGAACUACCUUUUUAGCUGAGUGAAGGGAUCAACCUGAGUUGGAGUUCUCCUAUGCUGUGGCCAGAUCCACUAGAAAUUAACCCAGAAUCUUAGCCUCUCAGUGGCCUAUCGGUGAUGCCACACUCAAUCAGAAACUAUGCUACUGCUGAAGAGGUAUAUUGAGCCCUGCCUGGUUAACCUCCAGUGAGGUUAUUAGAGAAUUGGGAGAGGCUCAAAUCAGCAUCCUGCACCUAGUUAUCAAACCAUUGUGAAGUCUUGAUUCCUGGAUGGCCAGAAAACUUGUCAUUGGUCAAGAGCAACAUUAAGAUCUGCCUGUUACUCAUACUGAUGCUUCCUGCCCAGCAAGUUCAUCAGAGGGCGAGGAUGAAUUACGGUUGCCAUGAAUGUCCUUGUGAGGCAGUUGGGAAGCCUUGGCUGGAUUGUGAAGGAUAUUUGAAAAGUAUUUUAGAGUCCACCAGAUCAUCCAUGUGAGUGACCAUGCAGCAAAAGAAGGAGGGUCCUCUCAGUGAUUAAGGAUUAUGAAGUAUUAAUUCUUCCACUGAUAUCUCAAAAGGUGAUCUGGACAAAGGAACAGGUAUCUCAGAUAAUCAGCAACUGCUGUGAUGAGAUGCUGCCUUUAAUGCUGCUGCAUGUGGUCAAACCUCCACUCCCAGUCUACCCAGACCAGGACUUGGCUUCCAGGAUCCAGGGGUGUCUGUGUGAAAUGAUCAGCCUGGGCCCCCAAGCAGGUCACUCCCAGCACAGAGAUGUCAUUGAUUGUACCACCGUCAUCAGGCUGUCUUCCGCCCUCAGGGAAAAGUAGCAUGUCUUCCAGCACCAUAUGACAACUGCUCAGCACUUAUUUCUUGUCAUUGCUCCCUUCUGACUGCAGCUCCGUGGGAUCACAGGAGAUUAUGGUGGUGGUGGACUCCCAGGCAUUGCUAUUCUCCUGACACCAGAACACCAUCAUGGUCAUCUCUGAGGCAUCAGUAGUGUUUCUAUAUGCCAACAGUGAACAAUCUGAAAAAGAUAUUAAAAA
rnacentral:lncRNA from 1 species